AGUGAACGCUGGCGGUAGGCCUAACACAUGCAAGUCGAACGGCAGCACAGUAAGAGCUUGCUCUUACGGGUGGCGAGUGGCGGACGGGUGAGGAAUACAUCGGAAUCUACUUUUUCGUGGGGGAUAACGUAGGGAAACUUACGCUAAUACCGCAUACGACCUACGGGUGAAAGCAGGGGAUCUUCGGACCUUGCGCGAUUGAAUGAGCCGAUGUCGGAUUAGCUAGUUGGCGGGGUAAAGGCCCACCAAGGCGACGAUCCGUAGCUGGUCUGAGAGGGUGAUCAGCGACUCAGGAGGUGAGACACGGCCCAGACUCCUAGGGGAGGCAGAGGUGGGGAAUAUUGGACAAUGGGCGCAAGCCUGAUCCAGCCAUACCGCGUGGGUGAAGAAGGCCUUCGGGUUGUAAAGCCCUUUUGUUGGGAAAGAAAAGCAGCAGGUUAAUACCCCGCUGUUCUGACGGUACCCAAAGAAUAAGCACCGGCUAACUUCGU
rnacentral:rRNA from 1 species